rnacentral:lncRNA from 1 species
UGUGGUUCUUCACUCUACUGCUCUCAGGCAUUGUGCAUUCUCCUGUGACCCAGGGACAGGAAGUACCUCAUUCCCCUUGGUACCCUGAAAAGCAUUGGAGACACUCGUGAUGAAGACCCCAAGUAAGACAGACUCCCCACUGUAUGCUCCCUGCCCAUACUGCAGCCUGCAAGCUCUUGAUUGGUGACCAUCCCAGUCUAGAGCACCCUCAUGACACCAGAGCCCUUCGAGUGCUGUGAGCUCUGGAUUCCAGUAGAUGCCUAUUUCCCACAACUUUGGAAGCACACACACAGGAAAGGCAGAGCCAGUACAGUGUGCCUGUCUCCAGCAUCCACACUCACCAGCCCAGCAGCUCAUUCUCACUGUUGUUGGUUUCCGAUGCUUCGAGACUCACUAACCGCCCUCUGGGAAGAAUUGCUGCUCCUGCUGAAGAAUUUGCUUAUUUGCAUAACUCAAAUUCUAUGCUGAUUUACUUAAUCAUAUAUUUAGAGCCAAUUUUCCAGUUUUAUGUGAACAUGCCAUGUUGUUACAGGCGCAGGUAUGAGUCUAGAGGGCAGGCAGAUGCUGACGUUUCCAGAUCUUGUGUCCAUUUACAAUGAGUUGUCCAGAGACAAUGGAUCGUCACUGAGAGGAGAUGGUUUCUUGAGAGAUGCAGAAGGGCCUGGAGGUGUUGCCAUACCUUCCCCGUGGCCUGGCUUCAAGAGGGCAAGAAGGUGAGAGGGGCCAAGAAAGAUUGAAAUAUCCUGACACCUCUUGUAAUUAAGUUUUAUGUAUCCACAGUGACUCAGAUUACUUAACUCAUUCUUACUUAAGUAACCUAACCAUUAGCCUGCAGUUUGCCUCUGAUGGGUGGCAACGUGGAUGGGUGGGAGAGAGUCUCCAGUAUUCAGGGCUGGCUUUGCACUCUUUACAUUGCUGAGGAUGCGCUUCCAAUGAUCCCGCCCACACACACACACACACACACACACACACACACACACACACACCCAUUAGUUCUGUGAUGUAAUACGGAAGUGUUUAAUAACGUCUGAAAGGACAAGGAAAGCCACAGCACAAUGCACAUACAAGUUCAGUCCCCUACAGAGGCAAGGAGAGGCGUCAGACCUGGAACUGUAGUCACAGGAGCUGAGAGCCACUGCAUAGGGGCUGAAACCCAAGUCCAGGUCCUCUGCAUGAGAGUACACUUUAACUCUGAGCCAAUUCCUCUCUACCCAUUGAUUUCUUGUGAAAUUUUCUGCAGUUUAUUCUUUUUCUUUUUUUAAAACAAGGCUUGGGAAAUACUCAGUGGCUAAGUACUUGUUCACGCAUGUCUGUGUGAGGGUGUCAGACCCCUGAACUAGGGAGCCAUAGACUUGUGAGCCCAUGUGGGGUGCUGGGAACUAAACUGGGUCCUCUGGAAGGGCAGCCAGAGCUCUUAACUCCUCAGCCAUCUCUUCAAACCCCAAAAGAAAAAAUCAAAAAGCCCCAGGCUUUGAUUUCAGAUUCAUGUAGAGGACCAUUUCUGUAGGGAGAAAUGGAUAAAUUGGGCAUUCGAUUGAUGUGGUUCAACCUAAUAUUAAAUGUUCCUGUGACUGGCAGGGAUAACUCCUGGAUUCUGGUAAGGUCUGGCUUAGAUGGCCAUUCUAAACAGCAUCCUGCACUGUUACACUGGUUUCUUUUACAAAUGUAAAGGGUUUUGUUUUUUUUCGAGCAAGCAUGUGCCUGUCUUUGCUGGCUGUGUACAACAUGGGAAUCAUGUAGGCAUGAGUUCCUUUAUUCCAAGAGCUGAGGUCCAAAUGGCCUCCAAAUUCAUGUGAUGGGCACUAAGUCCUCACAGCAACUGUGCUGAGGGAGAGCCUCUGAAAAAGGCUAGCAUCAUGACCAAUCCUGCCACCACCCACUAGUCUGUUAUUUUCCUCUCUGCCACAUGAGGACACCAUGUUCAUUGCCCCAACCUCCACCCCUAGGUUAAAAUCCACCUUGGUAGUAGAAAAAAGCCCUCCCAUAAGUGCCAGCACUUUAGCCUAACCUCCCAGCCUGGACAGCAAUAAAAUUAUUCAUUAGUUAUUAAGAAACUGGUACCCUGGG